rnacentral:rRNA from 1 species
GACGAACGCUGGCGGCGUGCUUAACACAUGCAAGUCGAACGGAAAGGCCCUGCUUUUGUGGGGUGCUCGAGUGCGAACGGGUGAGUAACACGUGAGUAACCUGCCCUUGACUUUGGGAUAACUUCAGGAAACUGGGGCUAAUACCGGAUAGGAGCUCCUGCUGCAUGGUGGGGGUUGGAAAGUUUCGGCGGUUGGGGAUGGACUCGCGGCUUAUCAGCUUGUUGGUGGGGUAGUGGCUUACCAAGGCUUUGACGGGUAGCCGGCCUGAGAGGGUGACCGGCCACAUUGGGACUGAGAUACGGCCCAGACUCCUACGGGAGGCAGCAGUGGGGAAUAUUGCACAAUGGGCGGAAGCCUGAUGCAGCAACGCCGCGUGCGGGAUGACGGCCUUCGGGUUGUAAACCGCUUUCGCCUGUGACGAAGCGUGAGUGACGGUAAUGGGUAAAGAAGCACCGGCUAACUGCGUG